CCUACGGGAGGCAGCAGUGGGGAAUAUUGCACAAUGGGGGGAACCCUGAUGCAGCGACGCCGCGUGAGUGAAGAAGUAUUUCGGUAUGUAAAGCUCUAUCAGCAGGGAAGAAAAUGACGGUACCUGCCUAAGAAGCACCGGCUAACUACGUACCAGCAGCCGCGGUAAUACGUAGGGGGCAAGCGUUAUCCGGAUUUACUGGGUGUAAAGGGGGCGCAGACGGCUGUGCAAGUCUGGAGUGAAAGGCGGGGGCCCAAACCCCGGACUGCUCUGGAAACUGUAAAGCUGGAGUGCAGGAGAGGUAAGCGGAAUUCCUAGUGUAGCGGUGAAAUGCGUAGAUAUUAGGAGGAACACCAGUGGCGAAGGCGGCUUACUGGACUGUAACUGACGUUGAGGCUCGAAAGCGUGGGGAGCAAACAGGAUUAGAUACCCCAGUAGUC
rnacentral:rRNA from 1 species